rnacentral:tRNA from 1 species
GGGCCGUUAGCUCAGCUGGAUAGAGCAGCUACCUUCUAAGUAGCAGGCCGCGAGUCCGAAUCUCGCACGGCCCG